ensembl:lncRNA
CAGGUCCCCAAAACCCCAGAGGGUUAACAAUCCCUUUACCUCAGUCAAACACAUAGAAAAAUUAGCAAAUGAUGUACAGUCACACUCAAAAGGAAGGUACAGUUGUAAAUCAUCUGCAUACAAAUUCUAAUUUAUAUUGGUUUGCCUAAAAAUCGAACAUAAAGCAUGUAUAACAAAAACAGGGUUGGACCAAGAAUUGAUCCCUGUGGAACACCCCAAAAGAUAGUUGCAAGUCCAGAAACAAAAUUACAGAUGUUUACAGCACAUGUCCUGUCCUGCAAAUAAGAAGAAAACCACUGAAGGGCAACACAGUUUGUCCCUACAUGGUCUCUAAGGCUUUCUAUUAAAAUGACAUGAUGUAUUGAAAUAUAUGAAAUAAGAUCUAGCUGCUUUAACAGCAACUUGAUAUUGUAAUAGAGAUUCUCAGAGGUUAUCAUAAGAUACUUGUAACUUAGCUCUAAGCCACUUAUGCUCUGCACACCAACAAACUCACAUAAGAUUCAGAGUGAAAUCAUUUAACCACAGAUUAUGUUCACAUGCGAGAACAUUAGAUCUCCUGAGCUUGGAAGAAGUCAUACAUUAGCAGCAAUCACAAUAAUCUGGUUAAUUUAUAAAGUCUGAUAUACCAGCUGAUAUUUGGCUUUUUUGUUUGGCUAAUGAGUGUCGGAAGCAUCUUUAAUUUUGACAGUGGUGGGACUUUUAUUUUGACAGCAGUGAAAACACCUGUUCGCAGAUUUCAAAUGUUGUUGCACUAUAUCCAGUUUGCUGCCAUGUUUCCCAGUGUGCAGCGCGCAGUUAGCUUUUAUUCAGGUUUUUAACUAUUUCUUUAUUUGUGAAAAAUACUAUAGCUUACAUUUAUGCAUUUGCCAGGUGCCUCUGCUUUAACUACAGGAAAGCAUUUUAUACUAUGAAAUAUACUAUAACAGGAUUACAGAAUCAAGAAGUCACUAAAUUAAUACUUUUAUUUUACAGGUUAAUAUUUUACAGUUAAUUAUUUCUGUAUAGUAUGUAAAAUAAAUUACAUUUCAUUGCAGCA